UACGUAGGGUGCAAGCGUUGCCCGGAUUUAUUGGGCGUAAAGGGCGCGUAGGCGGCUCUGCACGUCCGUUGUGAAAUCGCCCGGCUCAACUGGGCGGGGUCAGCGGAUACGGCAGAGCUUGAGCAAGCUAGGGGGCAAUGGAAUUCCCGGUGUAGUGGUGAAAUGCGUAGAUAUCGGGAGGAACACCAGUGGCGAAGGCGACUACCUGGCCUGUUCUUGACGCUGAGGCGCGAAAGCUAGGGGAGCAAACGGG
rnacentral:rRNA from 1 species